GCCAGGAUGGUGGAAUUGGUAGACACCCAGGACUUAAAAUCCUGUGCUGAGCGAUCGGCGUGCCAGUUCGAUUCUGGUUCCUGGCA
rnacentral:tRNA from 1 species